AGUGAACGCUGGCGGUAGGCCUAACACAUGCAAGUCGAACGGCAGCACAGUAAGUGCUUGCUCUUACGGGUGGCGAGUGGCGGACGGGUGAGGAAUACAUCGGAAUCUACUUUUUCGUGGGGGAUAACGUAGGGAAACUUACGCUAAUACAGCAUACGACCUACGGGUGAAAGCAGGGGAUCUUCGGACCUUGCGCGAUUGAAUGAGGCGAUGUCGGAUUAGCUUGUUGGCGGGGUAAAGGCCUACCAAGGCGACGAUCCGUAGCUGGUCUGAGAGGAUGAUCAGCCACACUGGAACUGAGACACGGUCCAGACUCCUACGGGAGGCAGCAGUAGGGAAUAUUGGACAAUGGGCGCAAGCCUAAUCCAGCCAUACCGCGUGAGUGGAGAAGGCCUUCGGGUUGUAAAGCCCUUUUGUUUGGAAAGAAAAGCAGCACAUUAAUACCCCGCUGUUCUGACGGUACCCAAAGAAUAAGCACCGGCUAACUUCGUG
rnacentral:rRNA from 1 species